GAUGAACGCUGGCGGCGUGCCUAACACAUGCAAGUCGAGCGGACAAACGAGGAGCUUUCUCGUCUGACGUUAGCGGCGGACGAGUGAUUAAUACGACGAUAACCUCCCUAUACGACUUUCUUGACUACGGGAUACCUGAGCUGCUACCAGUUAAUAUAUUGAACCUCUUGGUUCAUUGGUCUAAGACGGAUUUGCUGUCACUUAUAGAUGGUUUCGCGCCGGAUUAGCUAGUUGGUAGGGUAACGGCGUACCAAGGCGACGAUGCGUAGCCGACCUGAGAGGAUGAUCGGCGACACUGGAACUGAGACACGGUCCAGAAUACUACGGGAGGCAGCAGUAGGGAAUAUUCCGCAACGGGCGAAAGAAUGAUGGAGCAACGACGCGGGAGUGAGGAAGGUCUGCGGAUCGUAAAGCACUUAUAUUAGGGAAGAAGCAAGGUGGAAGCAUUUGUGGAUGGCUUGACGGUACCUAAAGAAGAAGCGACGGCUAACUACGUG
rnacentral:rRNA from 1 species